AAAAGUAUUACACGACUUGGAGCAUGCAAAUCACAAUCUGAGAGAAAGCCUUCUGCUGCUGAAGGAGCAGAUGGAGACUCAAGAACAGAAAUGCCAAGAGAAAGCAGAGAUCAUGUUGAAGGAGCAAAGGGAAAGAAUGGAGCAGCUCACUACCAGUCAUGACCAGGAGGUGGCGAUAUUGACUGAGAAAUUGAGCAGCUCCAGAGGCAGUGCCCUCAGCUUGCAUGUC